AUGAGGCUAGAAAAAAGUUGGAAGUAUGCUAUUGUGUUCACGUCAUCAGUGGUGUCCAAGGUGGGAAGAGUAUACCCUAGGAGAGGUGCAAGCCUAUCCAUUUUAGCGAAAAUAAAAACUUCAGAACUUUUUUCUUUUUUCUUCCUUUCUUUUGAGUCAGGGUCUUGCUCUGUCACCCAGGCUGGAGUGCAGUGGUACCAUCAUAACUCACUGCAGCCUAAAACUCCUGGGCUCAAGCGGUCCUCCCACCUCAGCCUCCCAGUAGCUGGGACUACAGCCUCCCUGCACCAUCAUGCCCAGUCAGUACCCUUCAAGAUAUUGGGGAUGUCAGCUUAACAAGAACACAUUCAUACCCUCAAGGAGCUCAGAACUGAGUCAGGAACUUAAGAUUUUACCAAAUAGUGAUGUCCAACUGACAUCUGUAUGAUACCUACAUGACUGUUCAAAGUGUAAACACGUUUAUCCCAAAAACUCUUUUGUAAGAAAGAGCCAGCUGUAGGAUGCCGGGGCUUGUUUGUAAACUGGCUUACUUGGAGUCCUUGUGAAUAAUGAGGGUUGAAUUUCAAUUUGCUUGAAACAUAAGAAACAUUGUGCCUAUGAAAAUUAUAAUAAUGCACUGUUUCUUAUUUCAAGUGUUUUAGGGAGCUCACUUGCUUGUUUUAUUCUUUAAACCUUGCAGUGUGCCACAUGUAUGACAUUUAUAAAGUAUUAGUGAUCUUGUUAACCAAAAUAAGAAAAACAUUUCACAAGGGUUCCCACUUCCGUAUUGUUUUAUUAUCUUAAAAGUUUAAACAAGAUGUUCUGUUGCUAUUGUUUUUCUUGCCGUCCACUGUAUUAGCACUUUCCCUCAUGUGCUUUGGAGGUUGAUCCAUGAAUUUCUCAGACAUUUUGUUGGAAUUACAUUAAGGGUAUCGGAUUAGAUGGUGAAGAGGAGACUGAGGCAACCUAAAAAUGACCAACCACGUCAUUGUUCUCUUGCUAUGUCUUUAGCAUGAUGAUUAAGAUACAAUUCCUUUUAAAACCAAGUGGCAUUUUAUGUUUCCCAAAUUAGAAAUCCAUUUUAGUUAAUAUUUAAAAAAAACACGAAACCACAACAAAAACCGUCAUUGCUUUUACUGCAGAGUGUUAAUGAAUGUAGAGAUUAGAGAGAUGUAGUGUUUAAUUAAUGAUGUUAGGCUAGGGUUCUAAGCUACUGGAUCUUCAUUUAUGCCUGUGUAUACAUGCCUAGAUGUGUUUAUUUAUAUGUACACUUAUUGUUAUAUCUAAAAGUUAGCUCAGAAUACAGAUUUGUAAAGGUUAUUAAUAAAACAAUGUAGUAAUGAAUCAUUAAGUAGGGGAGAAAGAUGUGGAAAAAGUUUAAAUAAUAAAAUAUUCUUUAAAACCUGAUAGAGAAUUGGAGACAUUUGGCUAAUUAAUAUUUUCAAGCUCUUAGUCUUGAUUAAAGUAAAAUAAGAAGUAUUGAAAGAAACGACAGUUUACACUCUAGCUAUGACAGGGAAUAUCCUCUCCAUAGGGUAUAUGUCGAGUAAAUGACUUUGUAACUUCACGUCAUCCUCUUCAUUUACAUAGGGUGUACCCCAAGUAACCAAUAGAAUCCUUUAGAGGGCAUUUAAACCCCCACAAAUUGUAAUGAAGCCCUUGAGCCCCUAUGCUCAGACCACUCCCACUCUGUGGAAUGUACCUUCAUUUUCAAUAAAUCCCUUCAUUCCUUCCUUGCUUUGUUUGUGCAUUUUGUUCAAUUCUUUGUUCCAGAUGCCAAGAAAUUGUACACCCUCCACUGGUAAGAAUUUUCAUGAAAUGACUUAGUUAUUCUACCAUAAAAUAAAGACAAUGGGCCUGACACAGUGGCUCAGGCCUGUAAUCCCAGCACUUUGGAAGGCCAAGGGGAAGUGGAUCACCUGAGGUCUGGAGUUCGAAACCAGCCUGACCAAUAUGGAGAAACCCCAUCUCUACUAAAAAUAGAAAAUUAGCUGGGUGUGGUGGUGUAAUUCCAGCUACUAGGGAGGCUGAGGCAGGGGAGUCACUUGAACCCAAAAAGUGGAGGUUGCGGUGAGCUAAGAUCACACCAUUGCACUCCAGCCUGGGCAACAAAAGUGAAACUCCAUCUCAAAAAAAUAAAUAAAUAAAGACAAUGAUGAAUUUUAAAAAAUGCCUACUGGACUGGUCUUUUGUUAAAUAAAUGCCUUUUACAAAAACUAAAAGGCAAGAAAAGUCAACUGUACCUGUGGAUGAUGUCUUUCUAUAGCUGGAAGUGAUUUUUUUAAUAUAGUGAUUUUUUAGUGAUACUGACGCAUACUGCAAACACUUCAGAGUGACACUGUAAAACCCCAGGCUUUACAACUUUAAAAAUUCAAGUUAUUUAUGCUCCCUUGCCCACACUUUUUGGUUAUUCUAAGACUAUUUAUUAAGCACAGGCACAGCAAACAUGCUUUCCUUC
ensembl:lncRNA